UACGUAGGGUGCAAGCGUUGUCCGGAAUUAUUGGGCGUAAAGGGCUCGUAGGCGGUUUGUCGCGUCGGGAGUGAAAUCCACUGGCUUAACUGGUGGCUUGCUUUCGAUACGGGCAGACUGGAGGUAUGCAGGGGAGAACGGAAUUCCUGGUGUAGCGGUGAAAUGCGCAGAUAUCAGGAGGAACACCGGUGGCGAAGGCGGUUCUCUGGGCAUGUCCUGACGCUGAGGGGCGAAAGUGUGGGGAGCGAACAGG
rnacentral:rRNA from 1 species